rnacentral:rRNA from 1 species
UACGAAGGGGGCUAGCGUUGCUCGGAAUCACUGGGCGUAAAGGGUGCGUAGGCGGGUCUUUAAGUCAGGGUGAAAUCCUGGAGCUCAACUCCAGAACUGCCUUGAUACUGAAGAUCUUGAGUUCGGAGAGGUGAGUGGAACUGCGAGUGUAGAGGUGAAAUUCGUAGAUAUUCGCAAGAACACCAGUGGCGAAGGCGGCUCACUGGCCCGAUACUGACGCUGAGACGCGAAAGCCAGGGGAGCGAAC